rnacentral:tRNA from 1 species
CCUCUCGUGGCAUAGUUGGUAACGCGCCUACCUUGCGAAUUGGGAGUCGUGAGAUGGAUUCUUACCGAGAAGU